GGAAAGGUAGCUUGCUACUGGACCUAGCGGCGGACGGGUGAGUAAUGCUUAGGAAUCUGCCUAUUAGUGGGGGACAACAUUCCGAAAGGAAUGCUAAUACCGCAUACGUCCUACGGGAGAAAGCAGGGGACCUUCGGGCCUUGCGCUAAUAGACGAGCCUAAGUCGGAUUAGCUAGUUGGUGGGGUAAAGGCCUACCAAGGCGACGAUCUGUAGCGGGUCUGAGAGGAUGAUCCGCCACACUGGGACUGAGACACGGCCCAGACUCCUACGGGAGGCAGCAGUGGGGAAUAUUGGACAAUGGGGGGAACCCUGAUCCAGCCAUGCCGCGUGUGUGAAGAAGGCCUUAUGGUUGUAAAGCACUUUAAGCGAGGAGGAGGCUACUAGUAUUAAUACUACUGGAUAGUGGACGUUACUCGCAGAAUAAGCACCGGCUAACUCUGUGCCAGCAGCCGCGGUAAUACAGAGGGUGCGAGCGUUAAUCGGAUUUACUGGGCGUAAAGCGUGCGUAGGCGGCCAUUUAAGUCAAAUGUGAAAUCCCCGAGCUUAACUUGGGAAUUGCAUUCGAUACUGGAUGGCUAGAGUAUGGGAGAGGAUGGUAGAAUUCCAGGUGUAGCGGUGAAAUGCGUAGAGAUCUGGAGGAAUACCGAUGGCGAAGGCAGCCAUCUGGCCUAAUACUGACGCUGAGGUACGAAAGCAUGGGGAGCAAACAGGAUUAGAUACCCUGGUAGUCCAUGCCGUAAACGAUGUCUACUAGCCGUUGGGGCCUUUGAGGCUUUAGU
rnacentral:rRNA from 1 species